rnacentral:rRNA from 1 species
AUGGCUUCGUCGGUGGCCGCCGCGGCGAGCGCGUUCCUCGGGACCCGGCUGGCGGACCCGGCGCCGCAGAACGGGCGCAUCGUGGCGCGGUUCGGCUUCGGCAAGAAGAAGGCCCCGCCGAAGAAGGCCAAGGCGCCCCCGACCACCGACCGGCCGCUGUGGUUCCCCGGCGCGCAGGCGCCCGAGUACCUCGACGGCACGCUCGUCGGCGACUACGGCUUCGACCCCUUCGGCCUCGGGAAGCCCGCGGAGUACCUGCAGUACGACGUGGACUCCCUGGACCAGAACCUGGCCCAGAACCUGGCGGGCGAGAUCAUCGGCACCCGGUUCGAGGACGCCGACGUCAAGUCCACCCCCUUCCAGCCCUACGCCGAGGUGUUCGGCCUCCAGAGGUUCCGCGAGUGCGAGCUCAUCCACGGCCGCUGGGCCAUGCUCGCCACCCUCGGCGCCCUCACCGUCGAGUGGCUCACCGGCGUCACCUGGCAGGACGCCGGCAAGGUGGAGCUGGUGGACGGGUCGUCGUACCUGGGGCAGCCGCUGCCGUUCACGCUCACCACGCUGAUCUGGAUCGAGGUGCUGGUGAUCGGGUACAUCGAGUUCCAGCGCAACGCGGAGCUGGACCCGGAGAGGAGGCUCUACCCCGGUGGCUCCUACUUCGACCCGCUGGGUCUCGCGGCGGACCCGGAGAAGAAGGAGACUCUGCAGCUGGCGGAGAUCAAGCACGCCCGCCUCGCCAUGGUCGCCUUCCUCGGCUUCGCCGUGCAGGCCGCCGCCACCGGCAAGGGGCCGCUCAACAACUGGGCCACCCACCUCAGCGACCCGCUGCACACCACCAUCUUCGACACCUUGGGCUCCUCUUAA